rnacentral:tRNA from 1 species
UGCCCGGUGGUGUAACGGUAGCACAACUGGCUCUGGACCAGUUUGUCUAGGUUCGAAUCCUAGCUGGGCAG